GGAAAAUGGUUAUCGACUAAUAUUCCUUGGUGCUAGAGCUGUUGUCCAGGCAUAUCUGACAAAAACUUCCAUUUCAAUCUAAAAUAGGUUUCCAGUUUGAGAGAUAUGUUUCAACAUUCUAUUGCUUCUGGUGGAUUUGCGGGAGAUCGGUUUUUCUAGCAUCAGGGUUUUCAUUUACCUCACAAGAAUUUUGGAAACUCAUCAAGGACAACAAAGACCAUGAGUCCUUGACCUACCUGCUCAUAAAGCGGCAAAGGCAGGAGUGGCAUAUUGUGCAAAGGAAGAGGAUGAGAAGAAACUUGUGCUUAUCAUCCAAUCUUUGUAUAACUCUCUUGAUGUGCGUUUGUGCACUUGUUGGGUCUAUUUUUUCACUUGUUGAAGUAUUCUGUUGUGCAUUUGUAAAAUUAUUUUGAUGUGCACUUGUUAGGCGUUGAACCUUGAUGUGUAGAGGAGUCGGUGGAUGAUGUAUUGUAUUUCAUUUGAUGUGCUAUUGAAAUGAAAUAUAUAGUUUAUUUGUAA